rnacentral:rRNA from 1 species
AACCUGGUUGAUCCUGCCAGUAGUCAUAUGCUUGUUUCAAAGAUUAAGCCAUGCAUGUCUAAGUACCUGCCGACCUAAGGUGAAACCGCGAAUGGCUCAUUAAAUCAGUCAUAAUUUACAGGAUGUUGUCAAAUCCUUACUCGGAUAACUGUGGUAAUUCUAGAGCUAAUACGUGCAAUUAGUCUCCGACCUCGACGUCAGCACGCUUCGGGCGUCUUGUCGCUUCGAGGGAAGGGCGCAUUUAUUAGACCAAAACCGGGUGGACAUACGCGCGUGCGGUUCGAUGGUGAAAGCGUGGGGUGUUACUACUCCUCCUUCAUUCAUCUCCGUUCGUCGUCCAUGCCUCUUCGGUAACUUGGUGACUCUGGAUAACUAUCGCCGAGCGCUGAGGUCUUCGCACCGGCGCCGUAUCCUCCGAGUGUCUGCCUUAUCAGCUCUCGAUUGUAGGAUAUUUGCCUACAAUGGCUGUAACGGGUAACGGGGAAUCAGGGUUCGAUUCCGGAGAGGGAGCCUGAGAAACGGCUACCACAUCUAAGGAAGGCAGCAGGCGCGCAAAUUACCCAAUCCCGGCUCGGGGAGGUAGUGACGAGAAAUAACGAUAUGGGGACUCUUCAGAGGCUUCAUAAUCGGAAUGAGUCCGGUGUAAACACGCGGACGAGGAUCCAUUGGAGGGCAAGUCUGGUGCCAGCAGCCGCGGUAAUUCCAGCUCCAAUAGCGUAUACUAAAGUUGCUGCGGUUAAAAAGCUCGUAGUUGGAUUUCUGAUGCGGGCCGGGAGCCCGUCCGUGAAGGCGCGCCCUCGUCUAUACGCGAGGCGUCCCGCUGGAGUUCUUCCUCAGUCCCCUCUGCGGUGGCCGAUGUUGAGUGUCUGAGCGCGUCGGUAGUGUCGCUGUUCGAAAUCAAACCUCUUGCGCCCCCGAGAUGGAGUUGUCGUUGGCGCUUCGUCCCCCGCGAGCCUUCUUCAAGGAUAUUGGCUGCUGUUACGGGCGGCGUUGUUCUCUUUUUCCUUCGUCGUUCGGUCUACGCGCGUCUUUCGCUCGUAGUGUUCGUAGUAGUAGUCGGCGUUGGAACGCGAGUGCGAUACUCCUCUCCCCGCGGAAGUCGGCCCCCUUCCUACCUUUCGUUCGUUCUUCGCGUAUGAACGUUCGCUUCCUUCGUGCAAAGACCGUUGCUUCGCUUACGCCGUCGGGCGAGUUGCUUUUUUUUAAAGCAGCCCGUACCGACGGGUCGGCGCUUCGGGUCGAGGGAAUGAUCGAACUUCGCGUUGGAACUUUUUAAAGGAGCGGAAGUCGUAGCGGGAUCGUUGUACUUUCGCGGGUGAUGGUAUCUUCAAAACACCGCGCCUCCGAAAAAGCGCCUCUUCUGCUGCUGCGCGCCUUCGGGUAUGAAAAAAGGGAGGCUGCUGCUAGCCGGCGCGAAGAGAGAGAAGUAAAGUUAAAACCCUAACCCGUAUCACGCGUUUAUAGUCGUUCCCGCUGUAGGGAGAGGGCUCGCGCUAUGGGGGUCGUCGUCGUCGCGCUCUCUAUUUUUUCUCGGUCGUACUGUUUGCUCUUUCCCAGUUUCCGCCGUCCUUCAGUUCUCCGCAUUCGGGUAGAUCCCGUCGUACGAGGGUUAGUAAGGUCGUCGGCUCCUCGGUGGCGUCCUGGCUGUAGCGCGAGUAAGCGCGUCGGGUGGUAUAUUCCCGGCUCCGCGUUACUUAAAGCCGUCGGCUGUCACGGGGUGCUCUUCACCGAGUGUCUCGCGAAGCCGGCAAGUUCACUUUGAAUAAAGUAGAGUGCUCAAAGCAGGCAAUGAGAAUUUUGAAUACGCCUAGAUGGUAGCGCAUUGAAUGAUGGAACAGGACCUCGGUUCUGCCUUUUUUCAGCCCGGUUUUUCGGAACCGAGGUAAUGAUUAACGGGGACAGACGGGGGCAUUAGUAUUGCGUGGCGAGAGGUGAAAUUCUUGGACCCUCGUAAGACUAACUACUGCGAAAGCAUUUGCCAAGAAUGUUUUCAUUAAUCAAGAACGAAAGUUAGAGGAUCGAAGGCGAUCAGAUACCGCCCUAGUUCUAACCGUAAACGAUACCAACCUGCAAUCCGUCGGCGUCAUUCCCACGACUCGGCGGGAAGUACCCGGGAAACCAGAGUCUUUGGGUUCCGGGGGAAGUAUGGUUGCAAAGCUGAAACUUAAAGGAAUUGACGGAAGGGCACCACAAGGAGUGGAGCCUGCGGCUUAAUUUGACUCAACACGGGCAAACUCACCAGGUCCGGACACCGGAAGGAUUGACAGAUUGAGAGCUCUUUCUCGAUUCGCGUGGAUGGUGGUGCAUGGCCGUUCCUAGUUGGUGAAGCGAUUUGUCUGGUUGAUUCCGAUAACGAACGAGACUCUUACCUACUAAUUAGUCGGCGGAUCGACUCCCGAGAGGGGUUUUCCAUCCGCGAGGUGUUCGGUCGGGGGCGGCCGAGUCUCUCUCUUUGCGUCGUUCCCAUCGUGUCCUCUUCGGGCUUCGCAUUCGCGUUGUCGGUGAGAGGCGGCGAUGCGUCUUCGGGCUCGGUCGGCGGCCGCUGCUGCACUCGUUGUAGUAGUGGUUCGUCUUUCGACUCGUCUGCGUUUACGUCGUUCUCCUCCGGCUCACGGUGCGUCGCUCGCUCUUGAGGCGCGUUUGGGGCCGAAACGGCGUUAUCGCGGAGUAGCUCUCGGUCCUCGUCCAGCUUCGUGCGGUGGAGCUCAGCGAGGGGUGUCCGUCGUGUAUAUCUUCUUAGAGGUAUCGGCAGUCUCUAGCUGCAAGAGAAAGAGCGAUAACAGGUCUGUGAUGCCCUUAGAUGUCCUGGGCCGCACGCGCGCUACAAUGUAGGGAUCAACGUGUUUUCUCCUCCGAAAGGAGCGGGUAAUCAGUUGAAACCCCUACCCGGUUGGGAUUGGGGAUUGAAAGUGUUUCCCAUGAACGAGGAAUUCCUUGUAAGCGCGAGUCAUUAGCUCGCGCUGAAUACGUCCCUGCCCUUUGUACACACCGCCCGUCGCUACUACCGAUGGAAUGAUUCAGUGAGGGCAUCGGACUGGCGCCUCCGGUAGCCGUCGAUCGUAUCAAACUUCGUCUGAGAAGGCGGGGGCGGUCUCCGGCACCCUAGGCUUGACGGAAAGAUGUCCGAACUGGAUUAUUUAGAGGAAGUAAAAGUCGUAACAAGGUUUCCGUAGGUGAACCUGCGGAAGGAUCA